UACGGAGGGUGCAAGCGUUGUCCGGAUUUACUGGGCGUAAAGAGCGCGCAGGCGGUCGGAUAAGUCGGAUGUGAAAGCCCCCGGCUCAACUGGGGAGAGUCAUUCGAUACUGUUCGACUCGAAGGCAGGAGAGGGAAGUGGAAUUCCGGGUGUAGUGGUGAAAUGCGUAGAUAUCCGGAGGAACACCAGUGGCGAAGGCGACUUUCUGGCCUGUUCUUGACGCUGAGGCGCGAAAGCUAGGGGAGCAAACGGG
rnacentral:rRNA from 1 species